UGUGGGAGCGAGCUUGCUCGCGAUAGCAGUGUGUCAGUUGGCAUAUGGGUUGGCUGAUCCGCCGCUAUCGCGAGCAAGCUCGCUCCCACA
rnacentral:misc_RNA from 1 species